rnacentral:rRNA from 1 species
GAUGAACGCUGGCGGCGUGCCUAAUACAUGCAAGUCGAGCGAACAGACGAGGAGCUUGCUCCUCUGACGUUAGCGGCGGACGGGUGAGUAACACGUUGAUAACCUACCUAUAAGACUGGGAUAACUUCGGGACACCGGAGCUAAUACCGGAUAAUCUAUUGAACCGCAUGGUUCAAUAGUGAAAGACGGUUUUGCUGUCACUUAUAGAUGGAUCCGCGCCGCAUUAGCUAGUUGGUAAGGUAACGGCUUACCAAGGCAACGAUGCGUAGCCGACCUGAGAGAGUGAUCGGCCGCACUGGAACUGAGACGCGGUCCAGACUCCUACGGGAGGCAGCAGUAGGGAAUGUUCCGCAAUGGGCGAAAGCCUGACGGAGCAACGCCGCGUGAGUGAUGAAGGUCUUCGGAUCGUGAAGCUCUGUUAUUAGGGAAGAACAAAUGUGUAAGUAACUAUGCACGUCUUGACGGUACCUAAUCAGAAAGCCACGGCUAACUACGUG